AGUGCUCCUGCUGACCUUCCGUGUCUGCAGCCCGGCUUUGGACUGUGGAGAUGCCCUCAGCCUCUACUCAGUGGCUCCAGCCUCAUAUUUGCGUGCUAUACCUUUAACCUCAAGUCCUCUUGCUGCUAACUUAAGCUGCGACUGUCCAGGACCUGCACACACACACACAUGCACGCAUGCACACACACACACACAGAAGCCCCAGCUCCAGCCCCUCAGGAGGGGACUGCGUGGGAGGAAUGACUCCAGCAAGCCGGCAGCUGACCCGUCUCCUGCCUGCACGCCUCCCGCUGUGGUCCACUGCCGGUGGUCUUCAGCUCUCUCCUCGUCCCACCCCCAUGGUCUGCUGACAGCCCAGCUCAGUGCAUCCCUGCCAUCUCUGCUCUACCGCUGGUCCUCCCAACAACCAACUUACAGGGUUUCACUCCCGUCACCCAGACUGGAGUACAAUGGUGCGAUCUCAGCUCACUGCAACCUCUGCCUCCUGGGCUUAAGCGAUUCUCCUGCCUUGGCCUCCCAAGUAGCUGGGAUUACAGGUGCCUGCCACCACUCCUGGCUAAUUUUUGUAUUUUUUGUAAAGGCGGAGUUUCUCCAUGUUGCCCAGGCUAGUCUCAAACUCCUGAGCUCAAGCAAUCCACCCGCCUCGGCCUCCCAAAUAAGUGGAAUUAUAGGUGUGAGCCACCACGCCGGCCCUGAUGUAUCAAUAUUAAAACAUUUUCUUCAGCCUACAA
rnacentral:lncRNA from 10 species